rnacentral:tRNA from 1 species
GGGCCUUUAGCUCAGUUGGUUAGAGCAACCGGCUCAUAACCGGUUAGUCCGGGGUUCGAGUCCCUGAAGGCCCACCA